UCACAAAAUAUUAUAAUGAAGAUUGUCGAAUAUUUUAACACAAAUAUGUCGAAACCCAAGAUAUUAUUGUCACACAAUGAUUUUUUACCAGCAAUCAUUGACCAAUUAAUUAAAAUGUUUGAAGUAAAAAUAAUCAACAAACAUAUGGUCGAUUCAACUUAUCAAGAUCUAUUAGAUAACAUUCCUGGUGCGUUUGGAUUGAUUAUAUCUGGGAAUAACAUACUUGUAGACGAACAUUUGAUCGAAACAGCAGGUCCUAGUCUUAGAGUUGUCAGUUCAACAUCUAUGGGUUAUGAAUGUAUCGACACAAAUGCUCUAAAAAAAAGAGGUAUCGUAUUAGGAAACACUGUACACGCUACUACGGAUAGAGUGGCAGAACUCACAGUUGGUCUAUUAAUUGCAACGGCGAGACAUUUUCUUGAUGCAAACCAACUGUUGAAAUCAGGUAAAUUGCCAACAUCACUUGGUACGGGCCUAACGAAUUCCGUAGUCGGCAUAAUUGGCUGCGGAAACAUUGGCAUUGAGGUGGCACAAAUGCUGAGCGGGUUCAAAUUGAGUGAACUUCUGUACACAAGUCGUAAACCAAAGCCCGAGGUGGAAUGUCUUGGAGGACAAUUGGUGUCGACCAACGAUUUAGUUGGACGCAGUGAUUACAUUAUUUUGGCCACAGUUUUGGUGCCCGAAACCAUGCAUAUCAUAAAUAAGGAUCGAAUGGCACUAAAGAAGCCGAACGCUGUGAUAAUCAAUGUGGGCCGAGGCAGGUUAAUUAACCAAGAUGAUUUGGUUGAUGCAUUACGGACCAAACGUAUUCGUGGAGCCGGAUUAGACGUAACGACUCCAGAACCUCUUCCACUAGACCAUCCUUUGAUAACAAUGGAUAACGUUGGAAUUUGUUUCAAUCCAAAUCAAUCUGGAUUGGUAAUUCAAACAUGGAGUGAUCAGGAUUCAGUGAUCAGCACUUGUUUCUAUGCAUUUGCAUAAUUGUACUUUGCAACAUUGCAACAUUGGGUGACUGUAUCGUAUGUUAGCUCUAAAUAUAUUCCAUAAAAUUGUGAAUUUGUCAAUGAAAAUAAAAUAUUCUGUUAUGCAUAGGUAUUUUUUUAUAUUUCAACCUUCAAGUAUAUUUUAAUUUUGGAGAUUUUCGACCCUUUAUUUUAAAUUUCAUUAAAAAUGUGUCAUGAAAUUGUUAUCAGAAGAAUAAAGUUGAAACAAAAUAAAAUUAUUGGAUAAAUUCUUUUAACUGAUUGUUAUCCUACCUCAUAUUGCUGGACGAAAUACUAUUGAAGCUGCUAUGGAAAAAGCACAGCUUACUAUUGAUAAUAUUAUUGCAGUAUUCAAUAACCAACCGAUGCCCUG